rnacentral:rRNA from 1 species
AACGAACGCUGGCGGCAUGCCUAACACAUGCCAGUCGAACGAGACCUUCGGGUCUAGUGGCGCACGGGUGUGUAACGCGUGGGAACCUGCCCUUAGGUUCGGAAUAACUCCCCGAAAGGGGUGCUAAUACCGGAUAAUGUCUUCGGACCAAAGAUUUAUCGCCUUUGGAUGGGCCCGCGUUGGAUUAGCUAGUUGGUAGGGUAAAAGCCUACCAAGGCGACGAUCCAUAGCUGGUCUGAGAGGAUGAUCAGCCACACUGGGACUGAGACACGGCCCAGACUCCUACGGGAGGCAGCAGUGGGGAAUAUUGGACAAUGGGCGAAAGCCUGAUCCAGCAAUGCCGCGUGAGUGAUGAAGGCCUUAGGGUUGUAAAGCUCUUUUACCCGGGAUGAUAAUGACAGCACCGGGAGAAUAAGCUCCGGCUAACUCCGUG